AGAGUUUGAUCCUGGCUCAGGAUGAACGCUGGCGGUAUGCUUAACACAUGCAAGUCGUACGAAAACUUUUUUUGCUUGCAAAGAAAGUUUUAGUGGCGAACGGGUGAGUAACGCGUAAGAAUCUGCCCUCAGGAAGGGGAUAACAGUGGGAAAUUACUGCUAAUACCCUAUAAGCGCAUGCGUAAAAGCCUUCGGGCACCUGGGGAUGAGCUUGCGUCUGAUUAGCUAGUUGGUGAGGUAAUGGCUUACCAAGGCGAUGAUCAGUAGCUGGUCUGAGAGGAUGAUCAGCCACACUGGGACUGAGACACGGCCCAGACUUCUACGGGAGGCAGCAGUGGGGAAUUUUCCGCAAUGGGCGAAAGCCUGACGGAGCAAUACCGCGUGGAGGAUGACGGCCUAUGGGUUGUAAACUCCUUUUCUUUGAGAAGAAGUCCUGACGGUAUCAAAGGAAUAAGCAUCGGCUAACUCCGUGCCAGCAGCCGCGGUAAGACGGAGGAUGCAAGUGUUAUCCGGAAUUAUUGGGCGUAAAGCGUUUGUAGGUGGAAAAAUAAGUCUAUUGUUAAAUCCAGGAGCUUAACUUCUGUCCAGCGAUAUGAAACUAUUUUUCUUGAGGGUGGUAGGGGUAGAAGGAAUUCCUAGUGUAGCGGUGAAAUGCGUAGAUAUUAGGAAGAACACCAAAGGCGAAGGCAUUCUACUGGGCCAAUCCUGACACUGAGAGACGAAAGCUAGGGGAGCGAAUGGGAUUAGAUACCCCAGUAGUCCUAGCCGUAAACGAUGGAUACU
rnacentral:rRNA from 1 species